GAUGAACGCUAGCGGCAGGCCUAACACAUGCAAGUCGAGGGGUAACAUGGAGUGCUUGCACUUUGAUGACGACCGGCGCACGGGUGCGUUAUUGGACGGCGAGCGGCGGACGGGUGAGUAAUGCCUGGGAAUAUGCCUUAGUGUGGGGGAUAACUAUUGGAAACGAUAGCUAAUACCGCAUAAUGCCUACGGGCCAAAGAGGGGGACCUUCGGGCCUCUCGCGCUAAGAUUAGCCCAGGUGGGAUUAGCUAGUUGGCGGGGUAAAGGCUCACCAAGGCGACGAUCCCUAGCUGGUCUGAGAGGAUGAUCAGCCACACUGGAACUGAGACACGGUCCAG
rnacentral:rRNA from 1 species